UGGGGAAUCUUAGACAAUGGGGGAAACCCUGAUCUAGCCAUGCCGCGUGGACGAUGAAGGCCCUAGGGUUGUAAAGUCCUUUCGCUGGGGAAGAUAAUGACGGUACCCAGUAAAGAAGCCCCGGCUAACUCCGUGCCAGCAGCCGCGGUAAUACGGAGGGGGCUAGCGUUGUUCGGAAUUACUGGGCGUAAAGCGCACGUAGGCGGAUUAUUAAGUCGGGGGUGAAAUCCCGGGGCUCAACCCCGGAACUGCCUUCGAUACUGGUAGUCUAGAGUUCUGGAGAGGUGAGUGGAAUUCCGAGUGUAGAGGUGAAAUUCGUAGAUAUUCGGAGGAACACCAGUGGCGAAGGCGGCUCACUGGCCAGAUACUGACGCUGAGGUGCGAAAGCGUGGGGAGCAAACAGG
rnacentral:rRNA from 1 species